rnacentral:rRNA from 1 species
AUUGAACGCUGGCGGCAGGCCUAACACAUGCAAGUCGAGCGGAUGAAGGGAGCUUGCUCCUGGAUUCAGCGGCGGACGGGUGAAUAAUGCCUAGGAAUCUGCCUGGUAGUGGGGGAUAACGUCCGGAAACGGGCGCUAAUACCGCAUACGUCCUGAGGGAGAAAGUGGGGGAUCUUCGGACCUCACGCUAUCAGAUGAGCCUAGGUCGGAUUAGCUAGUUGGUGGGGUAAAGGCCUACCAAGGCGACGAUCCGUAACUGGUCUGAGAGGAUGAUCAGUCACACUGGAACUGAGACACGGUCCAGACUCCUACGGGAGGCAGCAGUGGGGAAUAUUGGACAAUGGGCGAAAGCCUGAUCCAGCCAUGCCGCGUGUGUGAAGAAGGUCUCCGGAUUGUAAAGCACUUUAAGUUGGGAGGAAGGGCAGUAAGUUAAUACCUUGCUGUUUUGACGUUACCAACAGAAUAAGCACCGGCUAACUUCGUG